UUACGGCCAUAUCCCUUUGAAGCACCGGUUCCCGUACGAUCCCGAAGUUAAGCAACAUCGAGCCGGAUCAGGCCCUAGAUGGGUGAUCGCUUUGGAAUAUC